GACGUAGGGCGCGAGCGUUGUCCGGAUUUAUUGGGCGUAAAGAGCUCGUAGGCGGCUUGUCGCGUCGACUGUGAAAACCCACGGCUCAACUGUGGGCUUGCAGUCGAUACGGGCAGGCUAGAGUUCGGUAGGGGAGACUGGAAUUCCUGGUGUAGCGGUGAGAUGCGCAGAUAUCAGGAGGAACACCGGUGGCGAAGGCGGGUCUCUGGGCCGAUACUGACGCUGAGGAGCGAAAGCGUGGGGAGCGAACAGG
rnacentral:rRNA from 1 species